GAAAAAGUCGUUACAGACAACCCGUGUUACUAUUGUCGAUUUUUCUUAAACACGUAGUGUUCACUGUGCUGAUUAAGAUUGAGAUCAAAUUACUGAUUGUGGGAAUUGCCGGCGCAAGCCCAAUAGUACAACAGCAAGCAUGCAGAUAUUACUCGCUGGCAUAAAAUCAUCAUGUUAAUGGAGGAGUGAAGGAGGAGAUAAUUUGAGAUCGGCCUAUUAGCAUUCAUGCACGUAAUGUGAGAUGGCGGGAAGGCGGCGUGUGUUAAGCGCAGCCUGGUCGUCCUGCUGCAAGCUUUGUGGUAUGCCCUGCGGACCAAAACCGGUCGUGGCCGGUCCUGUAGUCAUCCGGAUGACGUCAACGAUGCUAGCGCCGUGGGAUACACUAGGCACACGGACACACACGCCAACACACUAGGAUUAGGAACAACAUUCGGAUAAGUAGAAUCUUAGAUUUAAGUGUAAAUGGGGUUAAAAGGGAGUUAAAUACAAUAAAUUUGGAUCAUGAUUGCCAU